CGUGUAGGUGGCCGAUUAAGUCAGGUGUUAAAGCUAGAAGCUCAACUUCUAGUUGCGCCUGAAACUGAUCAGCUUCGAGAGUGGGAGAGGAUAGUGGAACUCAUAGUGUAGCGGUGAAAUGCGUAGAUAUUAUGAGGAACACCAGUGGCGAAGGCGACUAUCUGGACCAUUUCUGACGCUGAGACGCGAAAGCAUGGGGAGCAAACAGGAUUAGAUACCCUGGUAGUC
rnacentral:rRNA from 1 species